UACGUAGGGUGCAAGCGUUGUCCGGAAUUAUUGGGCGUAAAGAGCUCGUAGGCGGUUUGUCGCGUCUGCUGUGAAAACCCGAGGCUCAACCUCGGGCCUGCAGUGGGUACGGGCAGACUAGAGUGCGGUAGGGGUGAUUGGAAUUCCUGGUGUAGCGGUGGAAUGCGCAGAUAUCAGGAGGAACACCAAUGGCGAAGGCAGAUCUCUGGGCCGUAACUGACGCUGAGGAGCGAAAGCAUGGGGAGCGAACAGG
rnacentral:rRNA from 1 species